UACGUAGGGGGCAAGCGUUGUCCGGAUUUAUUGGGCGUAAAGAGCGUGUAGGCGGUUUGGUAGGUCCGUUGUGAAAACUCGAGGCUCAACCUCGAGACGCCGGCGGAAACCAUCAGGCUAGAGUCCGGAAGAGGAGAGUGGAAUUCCUGGUGUAGCGGUGAAAUGCGCAGAUAUCAGGAGGAACACCGGUGGCGAAGGCGGGUCUCUGGGCCGUAACUGACGCUGAGGAGCGAAAGCGUGGGGAGCGAACAGG
rnacentral:rRNA from 1 species